AACGAACGCUGGCGGCAUGCCUAACACAUGCAAGUCGAACGAUACCUCCGGGCCUAGUGGCGCACGGUGGCGUAAGGCGGGGGAAGCUGCCCGUGGGUUCGGAACAACCCUCUGUAAGGGGUGCCAAUACCGGGUAUUGUCAUCCGACCAAUGAUUUAGCGCUCUUGUGUGGGCCGGCGUUGGUUUAGCUCGUUGGGAGGGUAGAAGCCUACCAAGGCGACGAUCCAUAGCUGGUCUGAGAGGAUGAUCGGCCACACUGGGACUGAGACACGGCCCAGACUCCUACGGGAGGCAGCAGUGGGGAAUAUUGGACAGUGGGCGCGAGCCUGAUCCAGCAAUGCCGCGUGAGUGAUGAACGCCUUAGGGUUGUAAAGCUCUUUUACCCGGGAUGAUAAUGACAGUACCGGGAGAAUAAGCGCCGGCUAACUCCGUG
rnacentral:rRNA from 1 species